UAAGAGAUUUCUUUACUAUUGUAAGUUCAAGUAGACUGCGGUAUUACAGUGAUAUGCAUUUUCAAAGGAAAAAAAUGCAUUGAUGGCCCAUGAGGUUACACGUAAUCAGUAUUGAUAUGCAUUUUCAAGGAAUGGUAAUGGCGGGGGAUAUAAAAAUUCAUAUAAAAAUCACUGUGGUGAUUUGCAAGAGCAGAAAAUUUAAGGGGUUUUUUUGAGAAAUCUCUCGUGAACAGAUUGAGAGUGGUGGGAUUUUUGGGGUCCAUUCACUUGCCUGCCUUUUGGAUAAGAGUUGCUAAAUGGAAGCCAUCACAAGACGAAGCACGUUUCCUGCAUGGUGUUUAAGAACCUUUCACUGUAAUUCAGGAGCGACACUAUUUCUGUCAUCGUUUUCGUGGGACCAGGUCGAAGAACACAACAUGUUUUCUUCUUUCCAGAGGCGCAUGCUUCAUUACUUACAAAGCCGACAAAAGUAUUUACUACACCGAAUGAUAUUAGAUUUACAAAAAAAUCUUUCGAAUAUUCAGGGAUAAUAUUCCAGUCAGUAAAAUCCCAAAUAAUUAUAAUGGCAUUGUGAUAAACAGGGUGCCUAGCUGGUGCUUUAACUGCAUAAACUUAUUUGGAAAAUAUUGUUAUGAUUGAAUCCUCAAGCUCAACAAAUCUCUUUAUGAAGUCUUCACCCAUAACAGUUUUUUGAAGCUGAUCAACACACACACCUUGGAUCAUGUCCAAUGCAAAACCAGUAAUCAACUCACCUUCGAAAUAAUUCCAUUGGGGUAGUUCCUAAACCUCCAUUGUUGCACAAUAAAUUCACCUUCAAGUCUAUUCAAUGUUAGUUCUUUCAUCUGCACUAACAAAUAGACGCAAACAAAAAGAGAGUAUGAAAAAAAGAAUAAUUUUAUGUGUUUGAGGUGCAGAGAAUCAACACCGUAAACAAAAAGAGAGCUUCCUUGGCAUCACAAGUCAUAGGGAUCUCACGCCAGAUCUCCACUUUGAAAAACUUACAUAUUAAUUUUUCUAGUUUUCAACACCCUUCAGCCGAAACCCACCUCUCUAAAAACUCCAUGCCAAAUCUCCACAAUACAUUCCAUACUGUCACUACUAAAAAAAUGGGGUAUUAGCAUCUGAAUUUAGCAACGGAUAAUUCCGUUGCUAAAUUCAGUAACGGAUUUGCAACGGAUUGCAUAUAUAUUAUUUUUUUAAUGUCAGCAACGGAUUUUAGCAACGGAUAAUCCGUUGCAAAAUUUACAUUGAAUUUAGCAACGGAUUUUCCGUUGCUAAUUAAAAAAUAAUUAUUUAAAUUUUAAUAUAAAACCAAAAUUACGAACACCGUUGAUUACAUUUACAAGAAUUAAAUCGCAACCGUUGAGUGUUUGCUGGCUUUGGUAAAUAUACACCAGUGCUCGAUCUCCCCCCACACCGAAAGCCAAACAGAGAUAAUGAAAUGAACAAAACCAAAAUUAAUGAUCUUCCACUUUUCCAGUCUCCUUCGUCCCUAACAACCUCGAUCCAUAGCUGUAGAAAAAUAACCCUCUCUUCAUCAAUGUGAUUUUCCUUUAUCCCAAACAUUUCAUCUUCUUCGCGUCUUCAGCACCCAUAAUUUCUUUUCUUCAUCUUCUUCUCCUUCAUCUGAACAAAAUCGAACCACACCCAUCAUUAUCACCAUCGAACAUGCUGAUUUAAGGUAUCUCCUUGUAAACGGGUUGGGUGUUUAACGGUUUUCUUCAAUAGUUCAGGUAAGUAAUUAAGGGUUUUUGUUUUUGUUUGUUGCAAUUUAACUUGCACUAAAAAUUUUUCACCUAACUUUCCCAAUCCAGGUUUCUUUCUGUCCUGUAGAACAAUCUCGGUCACCUGUAACUCAAGAACACAGGUAAUUUUUUUUUUUCAAUACUUUGAAUAAUUGUUUUAGGCUAUUAAUUCGAUAAUAUAGGGGUUUAUGAAAUGUUUUUACCAUGAUCUAUAACCUAAUUAUGCAUGUCUAAUUGAAAAUUUAUCAAAACCCCCAAUUUAAUUUUUAGGGUUACGGUUCAAAUUUUUUUUGAUGUUCGUAAAUUUUUUGAUCUAUAACCUAAAAUAGCUGUCACUGGAUAUAAAGGGAACAUAAUGAUAAGUUAAGGCACAGGAAUUAAUUUUUGAUUAGAGGUUGUUUAUGUUUAUGUUCAUGAUGUUGAGUUUAAUUUCCACACAUACCUUAUCAUUACUAUCACAGUUGUAAAGAGGGCAUAGAUGCUUUUGAUAUCAUAUACUAUGAAUCGUUUUAGGAUAAACAAAUUGAUGUAGUACUGAACAAAAAGCCUAGGGUGAUUAUUCUGCUUUUUUUAAGCAAUUUUUGUAAUACCUGAGUUUGAUCUCCAACUGUGAUAAUCAACACAUCUUUAUCUGGGCAGAAAGACACCCAGCCUUUCUUGGAGUAAACAUGAAAUUUCGAUGACCCAUCACAUAUAUGCCUUCCUUUUUUACUGUAAAUAAAUAUGUUGUUAUAACAGUAUAUGACUGGGUUUUGAAUGCAGGACCACGAUUUUGGGAGAAACAGGCAAGGUGAUACAUGGGAAAAGGUUGGCCAAAUUCGAGAUAAAUUUGAAUAUGACAGAGAGAAAAGAAUGAGGGAGAAGGGUAUGUUCAAUGCAUAUAAUUUACUCAAUGUGUGGUCACUUAUAUUUCUCGGGAUAAAUUGGUCAAGGGGUCAUUCUUGUAGGUAUAAGUAGCUGAUAUGCUCAAUAAUAACUUCAAGUUGAUUUCUUUUAUCAGAUUGUUUGUCUGUUAGGCAGUCCAUGAUUAAAUCUUUGUGUUUAGCAUGCUCGUUAUAAAUUGCAGAGCUGGAGUUUGAGCAUCCAUAAGCUUGGUUUUGAUUGACUAACAAACAUAUGUAUGUAGACAAGCACCUAUAUGUAUUUACAUAUACACAUGUAUACAUAUAUGUUUUGUGUUUUCUUCUUCUGAAGAGCACUGAAGUAUACAAAUUUUGCUUUCUCCUGUUCAAAGCAUUCUAGAUAGAAGAGGACAUUUCAACAUAAAGUAUCUUCUUAUUUAGAAUAGUGUUCAUGCACAGUUGCAGCCAAGUCAGGUUUUUGUUUUUUAGUGCUCACAUCUGAUGCUUUGUGUCACCUGCUACUGAAAUAAGCUCUUGAAUGUGAGUGGCAUUUGUCAAGGUGCUAAACGAUCUGUUUCUCUUUCAUAGAAUCUUGAUUUUGUUUUUGGUAGAAUUUUACCUUUCUUUAUGGUUGCUUUUUUUCUGGUAUUAUUUUCAUCACUAACACUUCCUGUCAUUGUUAGGCCUUUGGGUUUAAUAACCAAACCUAACCUAAAACCAGUCAUUUUGAUUUCCAAAUUGUUAGGCCUAUAUAGGUUUAAGCAAAUGAAUUGUACAUCAAUGGUGGGCUAACUAUAUAAACAUAAGCUCUAACGUAACGGAAGCUUGGAUUUGCUUAGAAGCAUUAAGUUCCAUAAGGAAAAAUCUUUUCUUGUCACAAUAGAGUGAGUUGGACCAUCAUCAUCGCAAUAGAAAGGUGUGAAAUUGAGUUUUUGAAAUUAAGUGUUUUAAGAUUUGAGAAUUUUAUAUUUAAAAAAUAAAAAACAAAUUUUGUGUUGAAAAAGGUUUUGAUAUUAGAAUGUUACCUAUGAGGUUAGUAAACUGUUUUGGUGGUCUUCUAAGGUUUUCUGGUCGACAAAAUGGUGGAAUUCUGCUAUUGGUUUGUGAUAGAGAGGAUCCCAAUCAAAGCAUCACAUAAUUAAUGUAUUAAAUUUUAAAGAAAAAGUGUGUAGGGAUAUUCAAUCAAAACAAUUAAUAAUUUAGAAAGAAUAUGUUUUAACCCGAAAGAAAGAACAAACUUUAAUGGUAUAAUAUUUUAUUAUAUCAACCUUUAUUCCUUGUAUUUGACAUUGUUUAUUUAAUUACAGCAUUUGAUUCAUUUGAUAAAAAAAAUCAAAACGCAGGAGUGUUCUUUAUAGAUUAAAUGACUCCAUCUUAUAAUAAUUACAAUAUUUGAGUAAUUUAGAUAUUCACAGUCCAUUUUUUCCAAAAGCAGAAACUGCAUUUAGCAUUGUCAUGAUCCCUCUGGUUUCAUAAUUCUCCGAAGCCUGGCUGGUUGACAAAAACUGUAAGCGUCAAUUAGAUGUUUUUCUCAUGAAGAACACACAGAAAACUCGGAAGAUAUGGUUUGCUUCCAUGUUCAUCAAUGACAACCAGUUUGAAUGUUAACCACAUGGAAACGUACUGUGACAACAUACCAAGGCAUUACUGAUCACAGAUUUUGUAAAUUAUUGACUGGCUAAAAAGGUAAUUUGUUGGGACUGGACGGAUCAAAACUAAGUAGAUAGUGAUGAUUGUGGACUUUUUUUACAGGACUCCACCGUACUGCAUAUAAAGAAUCAUAUAUACGACACUCAUUUNNNNNNNNNNNNNNNNNNNNNNNNNNNNNNNNNNNNNNNNNNNNNNNNNNNNNNNNNNNNNNNNNNNNNNNNNNNNNNNNNNNNNNNNNNNNNNNNNNNNACUGGCUAAAAAGGUAAUUUGUUGGGACUGGACGGAUCAAAACUAAGUAGAUAGUGAUGAUUGUGGACUUUUUUUACAGGACUCCACCGUACUGCAUAUAAAGAAUCAUAUAUACGACACUCAUUUUGCUUAUUCAGCUGUUGAUUCUUUGUGUUAAUCCAUUGCAAAGUAGGAAAUUAAUAAUCUAUCAACCUUUAUUCCUUGUUAAAAAAUUACAAGAAAAUACUUAGUUUAUUCCAAAUUCUUUAUAAAAAAAUCAAUUAUAAAUGAGUAAUGUUAAUCUUACAAAAAACAAAUAAAAUCAUUUCUUAAAAAUUCCAUCCAUUUGAUUUUAUGUAAUUCCGUAAUAGGAUCUUCAUUCAAUGCCCAAGUUUGUUUAGGAGUGGUUUUGGAUAGAAUAUUUGAUAAAAUAGUACUGCUUAUCAUAAAGUUUUGAGUUUGUAUCACCUUCUUAUCAUUGUUUAUGAUAUUGCAAUUACAUUUUAUAAUAUUUUAAUUUAUUAACAAAAUCUUGUAAUACCUGAGGAUUCAUCAAUAUAACCAAAAUUUCAUUGCUGUCACAUUCUAUAAUAUAAGGAUUUGUUUUAAAGACUAGCAAUUGUUAUAACUUGAUGGGUGUAACAUAUUGUUUAUGUUUUUUAUUUUUCCAGCAAUAUAAAUGGCUUAUUGGAUCACAAUAUAAUCCAAUAGAGUUGGCUAAAUCUGAUUGGGUUGCAAUAAGAAAACCUCCACCUUGUGCCAUUGAUUCUUGGGGCUUAGGUAAGUCUAUUUUGCUCCAUUUUUACAUGGUUGCUUAAUUAUAUCGUGCAUAAUUUUUUUGUUGGGCAUGCCUAUUGUAAUCUUGUCAAGUAGUUGGAACUCUGUCUUUCAUUGGGACAAUAUUGAUAGUUUGUAUAAGAAAACUAAUUGAAUGAUUUUCUUAUAUUAAAUCUGAUAUUGAGUUUAUUUUGGAUGGAAAUUAUGAGACCAAAAUGAAACCUAGAGGUGGGAAUUUAUUUGUUCAACUCCAAAACUAUUAUAAAGAUAAAUUUAUUUAAUAUUUGUUCAACUAAAUAUUUUUUUUUAUCCAUUCAUUCUGUAUAAAAUACUAACCGAACAUAAUCUAAAAAGUAUAUUUUUGUCACUAGUUAGAAAAUAUAAAUGACAAUAUAAGUGUGUGGGAAUUCCUCACACACUCAUAUUGUCACACUAAACAACCUAUAUAAUUAAAAACUCAAUAAGAAAAAGUAGAAGAAAAACAGUUAUCUAUUUUUUAGCUUCAUAUAUGUUUGAGCUGGACAAAUAAUUAAAGUUUAUUCAUGUGGUACAUAUUUUAUUUUAAAGGAUUGUUUAAGUACUAGUAGUUAAAGAAGUAUGCUUAUUUCAAAAAAUGCUUAUUGGUGUUGUCAUGUUAAUUAGAUUAACAUGGAUGAUCGAUCGUGGAUGUAUCAUCGUCUUAUGGAUGGUCGCCUUCGUCCUGAAUACAUUACUGGUGUUAGAAGAUUUAUCAAUUUUGCAUUUUCAAUUGAUAAAAAUAUAUCUGGGGGAAAAAUUAGAUGUCCUUGUGUGAGGUGCAAAAAUCAAAAGUUUUUAAAGGAAGAUGAUGUUUGUAAACAUCUAUUGACAAAAGGUUUUUUACCUUGUUAUGAAAAUUGGACUGUACAUGGGGAGCCUUAUGUCGCAGAACCAAUAUUGGCUGGACCUUCAUCGAUUAUAAUGAGUCAUGAUGUGAAUGAUGUUUGUCUAGAGAAUCCAUAUAGGAAUCUGGUUAUGGAUGCAAUGGGGGUUGGUAAUGCAUUCUAUAAUGAUAAUGUGUCUAGUCCUAUGGUAGCAGGGGAAAUUCCAAAUCCGGAGGCAACUAAAUUUUUUAAGCUUUUGAAAGCCGCGGAGGAGCCGUUGUGGGAUGGGUGUACCAAACAAUCCAAAUUAUCUGCUUGUGUACAAUUGCUUAAUAUGAAGUCAACUUUAAAUUUGACUCAGAAUGCCUUCAACAAUUUUAUUGACUUUACAAAAAGUUGCAUGCCUAAUGAUGAAAAUUUGGUUUCAAAUUUUUAUGAUGCUAAGAAAUUUAUGCGGCCACUUGGACUUGGUUAUGAGAAAUAUGAUGUGUGUCCUAAUUACUGUAUGUUGUACUAUGGGGUAGAUGCAAUGAAAAUAAAUUGUGAUUUUUGUGGAAGUUCACGAUACAAACCUAGAAAUCCAACUAGUAAAGGUUCCAAUAAGGCGGAGAAGCAACUCCGAUACUUUCCUCUAACACCAAGGCUUCAGAGACUAUUCAUGUCUCCAUAUCAUGCCAAAGAUAUGACAUGGCAUCAUUUUCAUAAGUCUGAUAAUGGGGUUAUGGUGCACCCAUCUGAUGGGGAGGCAUGGAAGGAGUUUAAUCGUGUCCACUUAAGCUUUGCAUCAGAUCCGAGAAAUAUUCGGUUAGGGUUGUGCACUGAUGGGUUUUGUCCAUUUGACAUGUCUUCAAAUACAUACUCUUGUUGGCCAGUAAUUGUGACUGUUUAUAAUUUGCCUCCGUGGAAGUGCAUGACUAGACCAUUCAUGUUUUUGACAAUGAUGAUUCCUGGGCCAAAGAAUCCGGGUAAAAAGCUUGAUGUUUUUCUAAGACCUUUGAUUGAUGAGUUAAAGAAUUUGUGGUUUUUUGGUGUUGAAACAUAUGAUGUAUACAGAAAGGAAAAUUUUCAAUUAAGGGCAGCUUUGAUGUGGACCAUUAGUGACUUUCCAGCAUAUGGCAUGUUAUCGGGGUGGAGUACUCAUGGAAAUCUGUCUUGUCCUUAUUGUAUGGAGCAUAGCAAGGCUUUUAGAUUAAAAAAUGGGGGGAAAACUACAUUUUUUGAUUGUCAUCGACGAUUCCUACCCAUGGACCACCCAUAUAGAUUUCAAUAUGAUAAGUUUUUGAAAGGAGUAAUUGAAAGGCUUCCUCCUUUACCUCGUCCAUCUGGUUUGGAAAUGUUAAAUGAAGUGUCCAAGUAUACUGAGGGACAUAAUGGAGGUUCAUCAUAUAAUGAUAAAAUUCCUGGCUUUGGUGUUAAGCACAAUUGGGUGAAGAAGAGCAUUUUCUGGGAGCUUCCAUAUUGGCAUACAAAUUUGAUUCGUCAUAAUCUUGAUGUCAUGCAUAUUGAGAAAAAUGUCUUUGACAACAUUUUUUAUACAGUAAUGGAUUGUCCGAAUAGAAGCAAGGACAAUUUAAAGGCUAGGUUGGAUAUUCAAUUGUAUUGUCAGAAGCCAAAUUUACAUUUGCAACAAGAUAUGAGUGGUCGGCUUUACAAACCUAAAGGCACUUAUUGUCUACACAAGAAACAACAACAAGAAGUUUUGUCAUGGAUGAAGGAAUUAUCAUUUCCUGAUGGUUAUGCUUCAAGCAUUUCACGAUGUGUGAAAGAGGCACAAUGUAAGGUUUCAGGGAUGAAGAGCCAUGAUUGUCAUGUCUUCAUUCAAAGACUUCUUCCAACUGCUUUUCGACCUUACUUACCUAGGCCACUGUGGGAGGCAUUAACUGAACUGUCCGUAUUUUUCCGAGAUAUUUGUUCAACAAAUUUAAAUGCUCAGCACAUGGAGUUAAUGCAGAUGAAUAUAAUUGAAAUAAUUUGCAAACUUGAAAGGAUUUUUCCUCCAUCCUUCUUUGACUCCAUGGAACACUUGACGAUACAUCUACCUUAUGAGGCAAAAGUUGGUGGACCAGUUCAAUAUCGAUGGAUGUAUCCAUUUGAACGGUAUGUUUUCAUACUAUGUUAAUUUUAUUCACUUUUUAUUUUUUAAAAAUAAACUAAUUGACAGAAAUGAUAUAGGUAUAUGUUUUAUUUGAAGAAGAAAGUGACCAAUAAAGCUAAAGUUGAGGGUUCCAUAUGUGAAGCAUACUUGAUUGAUGAAAUUACCAAUUUUGCAUCUCAUUAUUUUGGUGAUGACGUGCAAACAAUUUGGAAUCGAGUUCCACGGAAUGAUGAUGGUGGCCUUAGAAGUGUAGAUGGAUGUCUCUCUAUUUUUUCCUAUCCAGGGAAAAAAUUAUCCAAAAGAUUUUAUAAAAGGCAGUUGUCACAUGCUGAAAUGCAAAUUGCGCAUAACUAUGUGAUAUUCAAUUGUCAAGAACUGAAGCCUUAUUUAGAGUAAGUAUUAAAUAUUAAUUUGUACUAAAUUUAUAAUAAUUUAUUAUUAACUUUAACAUUUUAAAAUGUUAGGCAAUGUCGACAAGAGCUAAAGUCACAACAACCACAUGCGAGUGAUGGUGAAAUUGAAAAAUUAUGCGAAGUGAUCUUUCCAAAUUGGUUAAAAAAUAAUGUAAGUAUUUUAGUAAAAUUAAUUUAUAUUUUAUGUCAAUUAGCUACUUUAAAAAUAUUAUUAAUCUCUUUUGAAUCAUUAUUUCUUAUGGAGUUAACUAUUAUGCUAGGUGGAAUACCAAUCUAAUGGAAUUGAAAAUCAGCUCUUUGGACUUGCUAUGGGCCCUUCAACUUCAGUGAAAUGUUAUAAUGGCUAUUAUGUGAAUGGUUUUAAAUUUCAUACUCAAUGUUAUGGUCGUUUUAAAAAGACAAUGAAUAGUGGAGUUUGUGUGAAAGGAAGUUGCUAUGACGAUAAUGAACGUGAUUAUUAUGGAAUGCUUAAAGAAGUUGUUCGGCUAAAAUACUUGGGGAGUAAGUGCAAGUUAUUUAUGUUUAAAUGUAAUUGGUAUGAUACAAAACGAGGGAUUAGAGUGCAUCCUUCGAAUGGUUUGGUUGAAAUCAAGCAUACAUCUCGACUACACGGAAAUGAAGAUUUUGUGUUAGCACAACAAUGUCAACAAGUCUACUAUACAUAUCCACCUGGUAAUAAAUCAUCUGAAUGGUGGACGGUUAUUAAGACAACUGCUAGAAGUCGUUAUAAUGUUGACAUGGGUGAAUUUAUUGAAGAUGCCAACAAUUUGAGAUCAUUUGAUGUUGAUCAAUCAGAUGAGAUUUCUCAAUCAUGUCGUGUCCUUCCUACUCAAACACUUGAUGAUCCAAAUAUACUUGUUGAACCAUCUUAUUAUGAAGAAAUCGGGCAACAUGAAUUGAUUCAACUUGACAUGAAUUGGGGAAACNNNNNNNNNNNNNNNNNNNNNNNNNNNNNNNNNNNNNNNNNNNNNNNNNNNNNNNNNNNNNNNNNNNNNNNNNNNNNNNNNNNNNNNNNNNNNNNNNNNNCAUGGUGAUGGUGAAGAAGAAGAAGAAGAUGAUGAUGAGGAUGAUUGUUAUGGUGGUGAUGGUUAGGAAUGAUGAUAAUAAUGAGUAGCACAAGUUAAUUAUAUUUUGUAGUAUAUGUAAUGAAUUAUCUUUAUUAUAUGUAUGAAUGAUUUCAUAUUAUUUGACAAUAUUUAGGUUGUCAAUGUUUUUUUUAUUUUAUUUUUUUCAAGUGUGGGUUAUGCAUCACAUUACAUAAAUCAUUUUCAUUCACCUUUGAAACCAUUUAUAACCUUUCAAGUAUCAAUCUUUAAAUUGUGAUUCUGAUGUUAUAUUUUAUUUUGUGAUUCGUUUUCUUGCUUACAGAUGCUGAAGCGUGAAAGAAAGGGUUCUUCAUACUCAAUGUUUUGAUUUAUAGGACCUAAUAUCAAGGUAAGCAUACUUAUAAAUUUUGAUUUCUGCUUAAUUAAUUAUUUAGAUUAUUAUUUUUAUUACUGUUUGUGGUAAUUGGCUUUUGACAAUUUAAACUUCAUGGCUGAGUUUUGUCAAUGAGAUUUAACAGUUUGUUUUCAUUCUAGUUAUGGCAGUCUUUGGAAAAUAUCUGUGAAUUUUUUGUUCCUGAUAGUUUAACUAUGAGCUAAUUUAUUGUUAUGUUGUAUAUAUUGCCAUAUUCUAAAUGUUAGUUAUUUUUCUGGUUUUUAGCAUGCCUCGACGAGGAUCUAUAUUAGAUUCUAGGAGUGACAGGUCCACUUCAAGGAGUGACAAGUCCACUUCAUCCAAGUCAUUUCAAACUACAUCAAGGCAUAAUAACAAAGGAUCCACAUUUCAUCAACCUGUGUAUCAGAACGCAAAUGAGUAUUAUAUACCUACUUUGGGGAGUACACAUCCUCCUCAACAUGAUUAUGGGAGGGUUGAUGCAUAUCAAUAUUGUGAGGGCUUUCGUUUUCAAGAUUUGCUUCAAACUCAAGGAGGUUUCUCUCGAGAUAACCAACUUGUUUAUGGAGGAGAUAAUUUAUAUGGGAGUUAUAGGAGAGUUGAAGGUAAUGAUGAUGAUGUGAACAUUAGAAAUGAAGAUGAGGGAGACGGUAGUAAUGAGAGAGGUGUAUGUGAUGAGAGAGAUGUAUGUGAUGAGGAUCAAGAUGGUGUUCCAUCAUAUCACGGUUCAACAUCUUCUCCAUACAAUUAUGAUCAAAGUGUUAAAAGGAAGGGUUUUGACACGUCAAUAAAUCCAAUAACAAGAAAAAAAGAGCUUUGUUUGUAUGGAACAACAGAGUAAGUUCAAACUUUCAAUAACUAACAUAUUAAGGUUAUAUUUUCAAGUAUGAAAAAAAUUACUUAUUAUUGUGUAAUUAUUUGUUUAAUAUAAGUUUGUUAUUAUAUAUUUUCAGGUUCAAUAAUGCAUCGUGUGGUCGUGCAAUCGGAGAUAUUUUGAGGUCCAAUUUUAAGGGAGCAUGGCACUCUUGGGAAAAAGUAGAUCCAAUGUGCAGGGAUGAACUCUUUAAAGAGUUUAAGGUAAGAACCAACACUAAUUGCCAUAAUAUUCUUUUUAAUUUUGAUCACUUUAAUGUAGAAUUAUGAAAAUUAUCAACUGAAUAGCUAUGAUUGAUUUGUGUUAUAAUUUGUUCUUAUUUCUUGUUUACUCUUUAAUAUCAUUUAAUUUCUUUAGUUAUUACAUCAUCUUGCAAAUUCUGAACAAGAUAACACAAUAUGAUUAAUUAUUUAUAUAAUUUGAAAUUUUGUGCACCCUUUUUACUUGGUAUAUAUAUUAUUUGGUAGAAAAAAUAUUCCUUUCCUGAGGAAGAUGAGUCGAUUGUUCGUAAUAUUUGGGAAGAUAAGGCUAGGAUAGCUUUGAAUCAACAAUUGACCCGAGCUCGCAAGAAAGCCAUGUCAAAAGAAAACACUACAAAUAUUAUAGAUUGUCUUGAUAAAGGUCCUGCCUGGAUAAACAAUGAUGACUGGAAUCAAAUGAUCAAAGAUGUUUGGUCCACCCCUGAAUUUCAAAGGAGAUCUGAAUCUGCUAGGAGAAAUCGAUUAACCAAAACAGAUGGCAAAAUAAGCACUCAUUCUGGAGGAACAGUGUCAUUUGCAUCAUAUCGAGCUAACAUGGUAAGGAUUUUUUUUUAAUGCUUAAGAUAAUAAAUUAAAAUUUAGAUAUUUCUCUUUUAUAAUAUUUAUUAAUCUUGAAAGCAAGAGGAAGCUGGUGGAAAAGAACCUCCAUGGGAUGAUGUCUUUACAGCUUUGCAUCAAAGUACUAAGCAAUCUGGUAGCUUUGUCGACAACAAGUCUAAAAAAGUGGUUGUAUGUAUUUUUAUUUGAUUAUUUCUUAAUAUAACUUAAGUAUUAUUCAACAUUCAAAUUAAUUUAUUGUUGCAUGUAUUUUAUUUGUAGGAAAAUUAUAAAAUGGAGAUGAUUUCAAAGUAUGGAACUGAUCGGGAAAAUCAUCCUUCAUUUGAUGGAGCAGCUUGGUGUGUGGCUUCAGGAGGAGUUACAAAGGGUAGAGUAUAUGGUGCACCUCGUAUGCCAAAAUCAAAAGUUAGUACAAGCUCGUCAUCACAUUCUUACUCGGUGGAGUCAUCAUAUCCCAGUUCAUCGUAUCAAGCAUUGCAAAAGGAGAUAAAGGAUAAAGAAGAGGAGAUAAAGAAAAAAGAUGAUUUUAUUCUUGAAAUGAAACGGCAGAUGGAUUCCAUGAAAGAAUAUCUUGUGAACAAUCUUGGAUACCAUGGUGGGACAUCAAAUAUUGAUCAAGGUAUGCCACCACCUUUGACUCCAUCAAUACCGCCACCUAUGGCUCCUCAGAUAAUGACACCUAUGGGUCCUGCAUUUCAACCAAUUUUUCGACCUACACCUCGACCUUUAUAUCCUGCUCAAUCUUCUGUUGAUCCACAAUAUCAUGGUUCGUCUUCGCAACCUGCACCAUGAUUGUAUCUUUUGUUGUUUUUUUUAUUAUUGUAUUUGAACUUAAUUGUAUUAAUGCAAGUUUAACUAAAUUUUUAUAAUAUGAAUAUUAUUUUUAUUUUGUUUUUUAUUAAUGAUAUAAUUAUUUUUAAUAUUAAUUAAUUUAUGUUGGUUAUAUAUAUUCUACAACUUUUAAAUUAUCCAUAAAUAAUUAAAUAAAUAAAUUAAAAGUGAUUUUAAUAAAUAAAUAAAAAUUAAUUUAAUAAAAAAACAAAUGCAAUCACCAACGGAUUCUCCGUUGGUGAUUGCAACUUAUGCAUGAAUCAGCAACGGAGAAUCCGUUGCUGAUUCACAAAAUUAGCAACGGAUUUGUCCGUUGCUGAUUUGGCAGCAACGGAUAAUCCGUUGCUAAUUUUGCAACGGAUUAUCCGUUGCUAAAUUUCAGCAACGGAUUUUCCGUUGCUGCCAAAUCAGCAACGGACAAAUCCGUUGCAAAAUAAUCAGCAACGACAAAUCUGCAUCCGAUUUGUGCCGUUGCUGAUUCCGUUGCUAAAUUGUUUUAGCAACGGAUGUUAGCUUUAUUUGCAACGGAAUCGUCCGUUGCUAAUUACUCCAUUUUUUAGUAGUGUGUCUUUUUUAUGUAAUUUUAUGUCUGACUAAAUAGCGAGGAACCAAGAUCUUUUUUUGCCCCAGUUAAACUCAUGUAAGCCAAAAUUUCAGCGGCUUUGAUGAUUAUUAUUUCUGAAUUUUUCAGUUUUAAGGUGUAAGAGUGAUUCUUGCAUUUUAGUUCUUGAACGAACUGAAUCUGACUUAUCGAAGAUUAACUGGCUUCGUGGCAUCAUUCUACUCAAUCCAAUAGUGUUGGUGCCUUGGGGCAGGUUUUCAUUGUGUCACACUCCUAUCAGACCUUUUUCGGCUUUCCGGGAUCAAAUCUCAAUCUUGAUUAUGGGUUGCGUGACCACGUGACACGAGGUUCGCAUCAGUUGGUAUCAGAGCUAGGCUCUGAAAUAAGGUCAUAUCCUUCUAUUAUUCUCGUUUUUUUAGUGUUCCUUUAAGUUUUUCAGUGUUUGCGUUCAUCUUCUUGUUCUUUAUGUCCGCGUCAUCUAAGCAAAAAAAAAAAAAAGUUAUAUUUCUUCUUAUUAUUCAUAUUCUGUCUAUUGGGGGCUAGAUUACAUCAUAAAUCCAAUUUCCCACCAAAUCAAUCCAUACUCCGUAAACUCAAUUAUCACCAAUUUCACCUUCUUUUGUUUAGAAUAGUUAUGGCAAUCAAAAAUUCAAUCUACCUUUUUCUCCCACUCCAAAUAAGCCUCGUGAUCGUUUUUACCUUGAAAGUUAGGAAUUUUCAGUUUAAUUGUGUUCAAGUCCCCAUCCAUUUCUUCAUGAUGUGGACCAGCCCAGAAACACCAACAAGGACCCAUUACAUGUUCCAAAUGGUCCAAUGACUCGGUCCAAGACAAAAGCAUUGAAAGAGGCAUUGAAUGCAUUGGUUUUGAACGUUUCAACCAAGUCAGAAUUGAAAAGUCCAUUAGAGUAUCAAGAGGAGACCCUAGUACAUCUUAUCCAUGUGCAAGAAAAGGGAUCCAAUACAACCUUAUUUGGGCCAUGAGAUGAGGACAACGAAAAAAACAAAAAAAUCCUACUACAACUUGGAAACAAUAUGGGUGGCUACCUUUUCCUUUUAUUUUUGGGAUUAAGGGGCUGCAUUGAAGGCUAUAAAUAAGCCUUGAAUUGGUUCUGUAAUAUUUUACUUCCUUCUUUUCUUCUCAUGGCAGAACAUGGAUUUAAUAUUAGGGGCUUUAUUUUUUUUUUUAGCAACAGCCCAAGGCUUGUGAUGAUUAUUAAUUCUGAAUUUUUCAGUUUUAACGUGUAAGAUGAUUCUUACAUUCUUCAGUUCUUGAACGAACUGAAUCUAACUUAUCGAAGAUUAACUAGCUUCGUGGUGUCAUUCUACUCAUUCCAAUAGUGUUGGUUCCUUGAGGCAGGUUUUCAUUGCGUCACACUCCUAUCAGAUCUAUUUCGGUUUUCCGGGAUCAGAUCUCAAUCUUAAUUAUGGGUUGCAUGACCACGAGAUCCCGAGAUUCGCAUCAGUUUUUUGUUCAAAAUCCCUUAACAAUUUGAUUUUCCCUUUUUCUAUUUUGUGAAUAAAAUUCUCUUAAAGUUGAUUUAUUAAAAUAAUAUUUAUGGAUCCAAUUAAGUCAUUUUUAAGAGAAUUAGAGAUUUUUAUGAUAAUAUUAGCAAUUUCUUUAAGAAUAAUUAUAUAUUAACUUAAAAUGCAUAAAUUUUAAAAUAAUUUGCUUGUUAAUUUUGAAUGAGAAUAAAAUAUCUAUUUUUUUAUAAUUUUCUUAAAUUUAUUAUUUCUAAAUUUAUUCAUAUAGUGAUUUCGACGAUGUUUCUGACCCAUGACAUCAUAAGAACCUUAAUAAAUUUAUUUCUAACAUCAAAGCAAUCUCUAAUCACUCUAAAAACUUGAGAUCCAACCAAAUAGAAAACAGUUUUACUAGUCUCGAUCUACUUUCUGUAGUAUGUUCAAAGAAAAAAAAUCAUCAUCAAUUAACUCUUCUCUCUAAGGAUAAUCCAUUGACACCAAGAUAAACUUUUUAUGUGGUUGGAAUGCAGAUGAAUAAAUUAUUUCUCUAUCCUCUUUUUUUUCCAAUGACUUGAUCUCUUCUCUCUCAACACCAAAGGCUGAAAUGUAAUAAAAAUAAAUAAGUUUAUAAUUGAAAUGUGCAAAAUUAAAAGCUCUAGAGACUAAACUUAUUUUUUUAUAUAAAUUAUAAAACUUAAAACCAUAAACAAUGAAAAAAAGAGAGCUAUUUUUAAUUUUAAAUUUGGUCAUUGUUAUUUUUAUAUAAAUUAUAUUGUAAAAAAAGUUGUUAAUAUUAAUUAAAAUCCAUCACGGGAACCUAAUCUUCCUUUUAAAGAGUAAAAGAUAGACGUGCAUGUAGAUAUUUUAUCUUGUGCCACAACACCCUCAUCAAUUUUUUUAUUUAAUUAUAUUAAAAUAAAAAUAGAUUUUUGUAAGACAAGUAAUGAUUUAGAUUAUGUAUAAAAAUGUUAAUUUUUAGUCUGAAUUCACUUUUUCAUAAUAAUAUUUGUUUUUAACAAAAAUGAUAUUUUUUUAGAGACUUCAAAUAAUACAAAAAAAAAAUGUUUCUCUUUAAUCAAAAUCCCUUCUCUUUUUUUUUUCUUGACAAAAACAUGUUUUUUUAAUGAUAAAUAUUCUUUAAAAAAAACUAUCAUAAUCGUCAUAGAAAGGUUGAUUAAAAAAACAAAACAAAUGAUGGAUUGAUAUUUUUUAAUUUAAAUUAUUUAAAAAUACAAGAAUUAUAAAUUUGAGAAACAAUAUGUAAAAAUUUAUAACAAGAAACAACAAAAUAGAUUAACAAGUAAAUAUUUUAGAAACUUAUGCAUAUUAGGUAAUUAAUGUAUAAUUAUUUGUAAGUAAUUGUUAAUAACACCAUAAACUUAUAUGAAAAAAACGGCAUAAUCGAAUACUUAUGUAAAUCUUUUUUUAGUAAGUUUAUUUAAAGAGAAUAUUAUUAUAAAAAAAAUUUAAAUAAAAAACAAUCAGAAAAAUAUUGAAUGGGUAUUGUAAAAAGAAGGGUCAAACAUGCUUGGGCUAGAAAAAUAGGUCAUAUGUCUAUUCUAUAAUUAAAACCUCAAAUACACCUAGUAUUUUUUAAAGAGAAGACAAAAAGUCAGUCGAUUUUAUUUUUUUUUAAAUUAAACUGACAACGAUCAUCUACUUAGAUAGAUAAUAUGUCAUCCCUUUUUCCAACCUUUUAAAUCAUUAGAGGUGGGUCUAUAGACUAGAAAAACAAGGUCCAAGUUUUUGCACCCAAAAUCCAUAUUUAAACCAUUUUUUAUCCAAGAACAUGAAAAAAUACCAUAUGAACUUUUAAAAUCUCAUUUCUAACAACAAAACACAUUUUAAUUGGUCUGAAAACUAAAAAUUAUAUCAAAAUUAUUUUUUUUUCAAGUAUCAAUCUAAUUUUCCUAGCACAAUUAAAUGUAGAAACCAUCUACUUUGAGUUCCUCUUUUGAAGUUGAAUUCAUAGUCAACAAAAUCAAAGUGCUAUUGGUGGUCAGAUUCUGCCACCCUAGAGCUUUUUGUCUCAACUUUUUUGACAACUUUCUCUUUUAUUUUUCAACCUAUAUGGACUAAAAUGUGGAAAAAAAAUUCACAACCAAAAUGUAAUAACAUAAAAAAAAUAAGGAUGAAAUAUGUAAAAAUUAAAACUUGAGGGAUCAAAUGUAAUUUUUGUGUGCCAUCUAUGGAAAAGGUUUUUUAUUCUUCUUUUAUGUAAAUCUUAAUCCUUAAUCCUUAAUCUCUCAAUUUAUUUUUUAACAAAAAGUUCAAACUUUAUUUUAUAAAAUUGAUCAUUAAUUUUAAGGUUAGAACAUUUAACAAAAAAUAAACAAAAAAAGAAAAAACAUAUUAAAAUAGAUUUCAGUGCAUGAAAACUUAACUUCAAGAGAUGAAAUUAAAAAGAAAUGAACAAUGAAUUUAGCAAUCGAAUUAUAAACGUGCAAAACUAUAGAACUAAAAUAUAAAAAAUGACAAAACAUAACCAGUAAAUGAACAAUAAGCUGUGAGUGUGUGCAAUUUUGUUUUCAUAGUGAAAUGCGGUUGUAAUUUAGUUUUUUGGUUAAUAAUUAGUAUUUAACCCAAAAUCUAACCAAAACCAUGUUAAUAAUCAAGCACCCUGCCCGUUGGGUAAUAUUUUCUCAAAUUUUAUUCGUAGUUGCUUAGUUAGAUAUCCCAAAGUUUUGUAUCAUUUUCAAUAAUUAAAGUUUGAUUUUGAAAACUUUAUUUGACAAAGUCUAAAUUUAACAUAAUUUUUUUAACUAGAGAUUAAAUUAAUUGAUUUUAUGAAUUGCUCAAGGUAAGAUCAUACUAUAUUGAUACUCAAGUGUCUUUCUCACUCUUUUUGAUCUUUCAAUAUCCACAAAUGAAUAUCGUUCAUUCUAAGUUAUGGGAUUAUAUAUUUGGUUUAUAUAAAACCCCGCUCUAAUUACUAGUAAUUUUUCUUUUUCUAACCACCAUUAAUUGAGUUGAGAUCUAAUUUAACAAAUUUCAGCCUAACCAUUUUUAGAAAUUUAAAUAUCAUAAGAUUUAGGAAAAAUUACAUAAAUUCUCCAAUAAUUUUAUCUGAGUUUCACUUUCUUUCUAUACUUUCAUAAAUUAUACUCUACAUCCUGUAUCAAACAAAAAAUUCAAAUAAAAUAUAUUAUUGAGGAUGUAAACUAUUAUUGAACAUAUAAACUAUAAGAUGAAAAGUGUAAUUUAUGAAAGUAUAGAGGAAAAAUGAAAUUCAUAUCAAACUAUAGAAGGGUUUUUAUAAUUAUCCCUAAAAUUUAUAUAUAUUUGAAUAUAUUAAAAUUUAUAUAUAUUUUGAUCUCAUUUGAAGAAGUACUGAAAAACCUUCAGACAUAAUAUGGAUUUUUUAUAGCUGCAUCUUUGGUGGGGUUGUGGAGUGACUAGAUUAGUCUCUGAUGAACUUCACUAAGAAGCUAAAUGUUCACGUGAAAGAAACACGGCAUCACCAAACACGCAAAUAGCCUUAGAGUUAUUUUUGAUAUACUUAACACCAAGGACGGAGCCAGGAAUUUUUAUAGCCUGGGCUAUUAAAUAAAUAUAUAAUUUUUUUAAGAUAAAUUAGUAAUUUAUUUACAUGAAUUUUGGAAGUUAACAGUAAAGUUUUAAUUCAAAUACACUACCUAAAAUAUUAAAAAAUAAAUUUAAAAGUACAUAAAAUUAAAGUGAAAGUAAAAAUAAACCAACUAUUGAAGUUACAUUCUUCGAUGUUUUGUGGAAUAUAAUUCAUUUAUAAUCGAAUCUGAAUCGAUAUUGUAACAACCCCUCAACCAGGAUAAAAUAACAAUCUCAUGUCAACUGGAAAACAAAGUAAUUAAAUUUUUUCUCUCUCUCAAUUCCUCCUUCCUUCACUUGAUUAUUCCUUAGAUUAGUGUUUUAUAAGUUGGACUUUGUAAGUUUACAAGGUUAUUCUCUUAUUUUUUUUAUUUUUUUUCUUAGAUUUUUUUUUAUGUUUUUCCCUUACUUUUCUCUCUUUAUCUCUCGCCUUUUCUUUUCUUUUCUUUUUCUAUUCUGCUUCUGCCAUGUCAGCAACAUAUAAAAAGAAGGAAGAACUGAUUUGUUUUAUUUUUUAAUGGCAAAUAAUCAUUUUACCCUUAAUGAGUCGUUUUGCUUUUAUUUGACGGUUCUCUUUUUUUAUUAGCACUACCAAGCUCUGUUCAUCCUAAAAUUUUAACCAGAUUUUAUUUAAUAUAUUUUAAGAUCCCUCAUAAACUUUCAGCUCAAUCUGAUGGUCGGAUUGAAAAUUACACUCAAUAACGUAAAACUGGUUAAAUUGUGAUUUUUCAUCAAAUUUCUUUAAAAAUUCUGAAAUUUUAACCCAAGCUAAAGUAUCAUAUUAAAAGGCUUCAUGCAAAUUUUAAGAAUUUUUUAAUAACUCAAUCAAUAAUUAUAAAUUAUAAAUUGUUUUUACAUAAACUAGUUAAAAAAUAUUGAUAAAAUCUUGACCUCGAAUAUAGCUAACACCCAGGCCUUUACAUGCCUUCGUCCUUGCUUAACACUUGUUCAAGGAAUGGUAAUGGCGAGGGAUAUAAAUACAUAUAAAAAUCACUGUGGUGAUUUGCAAGAGCAGAAAAUUUAAGGGGUUUUUUUGAGAAAUCUCUCGUGAACAGAUUGAGAGUGGUGGGAUCUCUCGUGAACAGAUUGAGAGUGGUGGGAUUUUUGGGGUCCAUUCACUUGCCUGCCUUUUGGAUAAGAGUUGCUAAAUGGAAGCCAUCAAAAGACGAAGCACGUUUCCUGCAUGGUGUUUAAGAACCACACACAUAUAUAUAUAUAUAUAUAUAUAAAUGUUUGGCAUUCUGAGCGAAUAUUAGUUUUUCUUUUGUGGUGCAUCUGUGCCGUCCGUCCUUUCACUGUAUUUCAGGAGCGACACUAUUUCUGUCAUCGUUUUCGUGGGACCAGGUCGAAGAACACAACAUGUUUUCUUCUUUCCAGAGGCGCCUGCUUCAUUACUUACAAAGCCGACAAAAGUAUUUACUACACCGAAUGAUAUUAGAUUUACAAAAAAAUCUUUAGAAUAUUCAGGGAUAUUCCAGUCAUUAAAAUCCCAAAUAAUUAUAAUGGCAUUGUGAUAAACAGGGUGCCUAGCUGGUGCUUUAACUGCAUAAACUUAUUUGGAAAAUAUUGUUAUGAUUGAAUCCUCAAGCUCAACAAAUCUCUUUAUGAAGUCUUCACCUUGGAUCCUGAUCAACACACACACCUUGGAUCCUGUCCAAAGCAACGAUGAUAGGGAUCCGAGAUAAGAAGGAAAACAAGCGUAAAAAGCAAAACCAGUAAUCAACUCACCUUUGAAAUAAUUCCAUUGGGGUAGUUCCUAAACCUCAAUUGUUGCAGCCUGCAAAUCUAUUCAAUGUUAGUUCUUUCAUCUGCACUGACAGAUAGACGUAAACAAAAAGAGAGUAAGAAAAAAAGAAUAAUUUGAUCGGUUUGAGGUGCAGAGAAUCAACACCGUACUCAAAGAAUGAGAGAUGCCGGUAGAGCACAAGUUUCAUUGGCCUUUCUGUUGGGUUGUUGCCAUUGCAUAUGCACCCAUCCAAGAUGUCAAAGGUUGGCAGCCACCAUUGUUAAAUGAGCUGGAGUUUGGCAGCCACCAAUGUUGACAACAAAGCAAGAACAGCUGCCAUGAAAUGCCUAUAAAUAGAGGCAUUAUGUGAGAGCAAAAUGUGAGAGAAGUGAGAGUGUGUGAGAACGUGAAGAGAAAGAGGAGCUGCUGCCAUGGGCAGCAGCCCUGCUGCCAUAUGCAGCAGAGUGUGUGAGAGGGAGUUGAGUGAUCCUCCUCCAUGUAUUUAUUGUAUCCUUUCUCUAUCUCUAAAUAAUAUGGACUCUCUCCCGUGGAUGUAGGCAAUUUGCCGAACCACGUAAAAUAUUGUGUCAGUGUGCUUAACCCUCCUAUGAGCAACCAUCAGUACACCACCGGUCCGCGCAUAGGGGAGCCGGAAUUGCCCAACAAUUGGUAUCAGAGCACAUGGUUUAAAGGGGUGUUUGAUUUUGCUCAAAAAUGAAAGUUGUCAAAAUUGUGUUUUGACCAUACCACUGUGUAGAGGAGGAAGAUACGAAGCCACUGUUGAAAACCGCGUCGAAAUAAACGUCCACACGCGCCGUCACGCGCCGUCAGGGUGGCUGGCCACGCGCACAGACGCGCGCCACGCGUCACACGCGUCUUCCUCACCCGAAUGACCUGACCCGACCCGAAUACCAGACGACCCGACCCACGCGCCAGACCCGGAUAAGGAUGACAUCAUCAUGACAUCAUCAUGACAUCAUCAUGAUGCCAGUAUACCCAGUCAGCAUGCCACGUAAGCGUCCAGUCAGCAUGCCACGUAAGCGUCCAGUCAGCAUGACACGUUAGCAUACGGGUCCCACCUGCCACGUCACCAGACGCAAGCCGAGCGGAGCCGAGCCGAGUUGAGCCGAGCAGUUUCGGAGCCGAGCCGAGCCGUGAGCCGAGGGAUAAGAUUCUGUGCAGCGGAGUCUAUGUGCAACCGGUUCUGAGAUUGAAUCUGGGCCGUUGAUCUGGACAGAAUUGUUUUGAUCAAAUCUUAGCCAUCUGAAAUGUGAUUUGGACGAUUUCAGACUUGUUUCCAGCUAAUUUGAUCGUUCCGGAUGCAAUGGUACGGUCCGAUCGUUGAGAUUUGUGACCAAAAAUGGUGGUGGUGAAUUAACAAAAGAGAUUGCCCGAUCAGGAGGCAUCUGAAGGUCAUCAUGGUAGUCGAUGGAGAUGAAGAAGAAAAAGGUGCACAUGUUUUCCCAAUUACAUGUGCUGAACUGCUAAGUGGGGAGAAUUUUAACUGCCUUGAAGUAAGGCAAAAUUGGGACACUCUGGACACUCUGGACACCCGAUCAUGUGGACGAUUUGAGGUGGAGAGUGAAAAUUGAUGAAGACCAAUCUUGACGAAUCUAAGCACUGGUAGUCUCGCCAGAUGUUGAGAAAUGAUGUAUUAAACCAGUAUAUUCCAGAUCACUUGUUAAGGAAAGCCGCAACAAAGCUAGCAAAUGGUUGUAUAUACGGAAAGACAGUACGAUGGAUAGAUAUGGCCUAAGAAGUUCUGUCUAGGAGGUUGGGUUUUAAGCGGGACUAGUGUGACCCCUCCAAUCUUUCCUGGGAACUUGCUUAGUGGAAGGAUUAUCCAUACGGUACUAUUUUCGUAUAUAUAGUAGUUUGUAAUGAAACGGUUGAAGACUAGCAGGAUGACGGCACAAGGGAACAGUUGGGUUCCGUAUGAUCAAGGAUCUGAUGAAGUGGUGAUUUCUCCAAAGAAGUUAGAUUCGGUGACUGGGAUUUCUCGAAGGGAGAAUUGAUGAAGACCCUGAUAAUGGAAGAGAAAUACAGCAAGGGGAUAAAGAUUGGCACCCUAUUUUGACUUGGACAGGUGUUGUGACAGGAUGAGCUGCUGUCAAACAUAAGCAAGGAAUAGGGAGAAAUCUGGAGAACAGAAAUUGCACGAGGGCACACGGAGAUUGUGCAGAGGUACCCGUAGGAUCCAACGAGGUACUGUAAUGAGACACCAGGUGCAAGGAGAAGAAGUGUUCCCAGAUGAAGCUCAGAGCAGAGACUGUUAAAGUUUGUACAACAGGAAGUCUCUUGUGCUCUUGAUGAAGACAACAUGCGAAGACCUUUCCAAUGCAUGCAAGGAUGGAAAGAGAGCUGUUGCAGAGGCACCUAAUUGAGGGGGUGCAAACGCCUGUGAUAAAAGGCAACCGCCUAUGAUGAAAAGGCAAAGACACCAAAGAGAGUUGGUGUAGGUGGAGCUGUCAAGCAGAAAGGCGUAGAAGCUCCAAACAUAGAAAUCGAGGUGGAGGAUUGCGAGGAGUAUACCGCAAGUUUCUCUUUCUAUGUAAUCAGUGGCAGUUAUCUCUCCCAUAGUGCACAUGGUGGUAGAGAAUUUUUUUUUUUUGGAGCCACUUUGAAGCAUCUCAGCUGAAGGAGGAUGCGACCGCCUAUGAAAGGCGAAGACACCUUAGAGAAGGUGUGUGAGGGCCGUGAUAGGAGCCCCAGUUCAGACCGCCCCAUGACAACGGGCGAAGACACCUUAAAGAAGGUGUAUGGGCCACGAUAGGAGCCCAAGUUCAGAACAACCCCAGAGCCAAUGUGAUGGCUGGAUAUGAGUGGACAGAGGGAUAGCCAAUGAAGUGGCUAUGAUGAGUAUGGAGACAAAUGCAGGAUUGACUUUCAUGGAUAUUGCCCCCAUGCUAAAGAUCAAUGAGCUAGAAGACAUUUGCCUUGGACAAUAAGUGUGUGACUUGUGGAGCAUUAAGACGCGGCUGCUAUGAAGAAGCAGAAGGGCAUGCGCAGGUUCCGAGAACGAGUUGACUCUUGUCAAGGUGGUGAGCUCGGUAAUGGCAUUGUAAUACUCAGAGUAUGAAGACAGAUAUGGAUCAACCUUUAAUGGGCUGCCCCCAUAGGUAAAGGUGGAGAGCUACCUGGACUCUUGAGACUAAGAGCGAGAGACUCACGGAGAAGUAAGGCGUGGUUCCUAGGGUGGAACAGAGGGCAGGCGCAACUCCUGGAUGAGUAGACUCUUGGAAGAGUGGUGAGCUCGUGAUCAUAUUGAGAUACUCAGAUAAUGACUGUCGCACUUGGAAAUAGAAAUUUCCGUUUGAGGGGGUGUUGUAAGCCUUGGUGUGAGGCUUGAUGAAUCAUUCCGGACCGAGCAUGGUUGAUACGCUCGAAGGGGAAUGCAGUGUAUCCCAGAGACAAGCGUUAACACUCUUCAGAUGUGAUGUGGCAGACCAUCUGGUUGUAGUGAUCCUUUUGUGUGAGAAAAGGUGUGCUUUGGUGACUCUGGUGAUUGAAAGGUGUGGCGAGUACCGGUAAACUCGGCCACAGACGCUCUCGGAAUGGUAAGCUUGAAAGAGCUGCAGAAUGCAAGCUUGUGCUGAAGAAGCAAGAGGACAGUUGCCCCACAUGAAUGGCAAAGGGGGUGAUUGUUGGGUUGUUGCCAUUGCAUGUGCACCCAUCCAAGAUGUCAAAGGUUGGCAGCCACCAUUGUUGAAUGAGCUGGAGUUUGGCAGCCACCAAUGUUGACAACAAAGCAAGACACAGCUGCCAUGAAAUGCCUAUAAAUAGAGGCAUUAUGUGAGAGCAAAAUGUGAGAGAAGUGAGAGUGUGUGAGAACGUGAAGAGAAAGAGGAGCUGCUGCCAUGGGCAGCAGCCCUGCUGCCAUAUGCAGCAGAGUGUGUGAGAGGGAGUUGAGUGAUCCUCCUCCAUGUAUUUAUUGUAUCCUUUCUCUAUCUCUAAAUAAUAUAGACUCUCUCCCGUGGAUGUAGGCAAUUUGCCGAACCACGUAAAAUAUUGUGUCAGUGUGCUUAACCCUCCUAUGAGCAACCAUCAGUACACCACCGGUCCGCGCAUAGGGGAGCCGGAAUUGCCCAACACUUUCGACCUCAUAUGCCGUGCUUUGAAAACCCCGCUCCUUGAAAAACAAAAGCAAAACAAAGAAACUCGAGCAUUGUGCAACGGUUCUUGAGAACAGAUUGUUUGUCAGUGUGAGCGGCAACAGAAAUCGACUUGGUGAGUCUUUCACGUUACAAAUUUUGUGCUGUAGCUCCGCAAAUACUCUGCAAGCAGCAGAAUUGUAUUAAUCUGUGCUUUUCUCGCAAUAGUUUUCCUAUUGCCCAACGGCUUGUCUGUUGCAUGAUUUCCUCUGAACUUCCUUUUGGGUGUUUUCAAAGAUCUGUUUUUUACAGUCAUUUUUAUUUAGAAAUUUAUUACAAUAAUAAUCUUUAUUUUUUAAAAUUUAUUUUUAACAUAAAUGAUUCAAAAACAAUAAAAAAAAUUAAUUUGAAAAAAAAAACCCAAUAUUAAACGGCCUGUUAUUUCUGAAGUUGCCACUGUGAUGAGAGAAUGUAAGAAGCUAAACGUGAAUACAUCACUGCAAAAGGACCAGCACAUUUGGGCAUCACAGAAAUCNNNNNNNNNNNNNNNNNNNNNNNNNNNNNNNNNNNNNNNNNNNNNNNNNNNNNNNNNNNNNNNNNNNNNNNNNNNNNNNNNNNNNNNNNNNNNNNNNNNNNNNNNNNNNNNNNNNNNNNNNNNNNNNNNNNNNNNNNNNNNNNNNNNNNNNNNNNNNNNNNNNNNNNNNNNNNNNNNNNNNNNNNNNNNNNNNNNNNNNNNNNNNNNNNNNNNNNNNNNNNNNNNNNNNNNNNNNNNNNNNNNNNNNNNNNNNNNNNNNNNNNNNNNNNNNNNNNNNNNNNNNNNNNNNNNNNNNNNNNNNNNNNNNNNNNNNNNNNNNNNNNNNNNNNNNNNNNNNNNNNNNNNNNNNNNNNNNNNNNNNNNNNNNNNNNNNNNNNNNNNNNNNNNNNNUGCAUUGAUGGCCCAUGAGGUUACACGUAAUUAAUCAGUAUUGAUAUGCAUUUUCAAGGAAUGGUAAUGGCGGGGGAUAUAAAAAUUCAUAUAAAAAUCACUGUGGUGAUUUGCAAGAGCAGAAAAUUUAAG
rnacentral:lncRNA from 1 species